rnacentral:tRNA from 1 species
UCCGUUGUGGUCUAGUGGCUAGGAUUUGUCGCUCUCACCGACAAGGCCGGGGUUCGAUUCCCCGCAACGGAA